UAAAUAGUAAUUACUAUAUUUUUAUUUAUAAAAUACUUUUAUAGAAAACAUUUAUUUGUUGUUGUAUAUGUUAUAGAUUUAAUUAAUUUUAGUAAUAUUUAAUUAGUACUGUGAAGGAACUUAUAUAAUAAAUUUAUUAAGUUAUAAGUUGAAUUUAUUUUUUGUACCUUGUGUAUCAGGAUUAAUUAAUUAUAUAUUAUAAAUAAUAAUUAUCUCGAUUUCUUUAGAGUUAAUAAAUUAAAUUAUUUAUUGUUGAAAAAAUAUUAAUAAUAAUUUGUUGGUAAUGAAAUGUUAAUCGUUAAUGAGGAUAUCUAGUUUUUUAGGAAAUAAAUUUAAUUUAAAUUUUUUCUUUAAUUUUUUUCUUUAAAAAUUAAAUUUAAGUUAAUAUAAAUAAUAGAAGGGAUAAGCUUUUUAUUAAAAAUUUAUAAAUAAUAAAUUGUAAUUUAAAUUAUGUGGAUUUAAUAAUUAUUAUUAUUUUAAGUUUGUUAAAAUAUUAUUUUUAUAUUUUUUAAUUUUUUUCAUUUUAAACUUUUUACUAAAAGGAUUUAAUUAAUUGUUUUUAAUUUUUAUUAUGAUUAAAUUAGUAUAAUUAAUUUGUAAUAAUUUUUUUUUAUUGUUGAGUUAAUUUAAGGAAUUAGGCAAAAUUUUAAUUAUUCGCCUGUUUAACAAAAACAUCUCUUCUUUAAUAUUUUUGAAGUAUAACCUGCCCAAUGAUAAAUUUUAAUGGCCGCAGUAUUUUGACUGUGCAAAGGUAGCAUAAUCAUUAGUCUUUUAAUUGAAGGCUGGAAUGAAUGGUUGGACGAGAUAAUAACUGUCUUAAUUUUAUUAAUUUAAAAUUUAAUUUUUAGGUUAAAAAGCUUAAAUAAAUUUUUGGGACGAGAAGACCCUAUAGAGUUUAAUAUUUAUUAAUAUUUAGUGUGUUAGUAAUAUGAAAAAUUUUAUAAAAUAUUUUGUUGGGGUGAUGGAAAGAAAAAUAUAACUCUUUUUAUUAAUUAAUUAUAAAUUUAUAUAAAUAUGAUCCAUAUUUAAUGAUUAAAAGACUAAAUUACCUUAGGGAUAACAGCGUAAUUUUAUUUAAGAGUUCAUAUUGACAAUAAAGAUUGCGACCUCGAUGUUGGAUUAAGAUUAUCUUUAGGUGUAGAAGCUUAAAAAUUAGGUCUGUUCGACCUUUAAAUUCUUACAUGAUCUGAGUUCAAACCGGUGUGAGCCAGGUUGGUUUCUAUCUAAUAUAAAUUAAAGUAUUUUAGUACGAAAGGACCAAAUAUUUAAAAUAAUUUUUACUAUUGAUUAUUAUUAA
rnacentral:rRNA from 1 species